GAGUUUGAUUCUGGCUCAGAUUGAACGCUGGCGGCAUGCUUUACACAUGCAAGUCGAACGGCAGCGCGGGCUUCGGCCUGGCGGCGAGUGGCGAACGGGUGAGUAAUACAUCGGAACGUACCUGGUAGUGGGGGAUAGCUCGGCGAAAGCCGGAUUAAUACCGCAUACGACCUCAGGGUGAAAGCGGGGGACCUUCGGGCCUCGCGCUAUCAGAGCGGCCGAUGGCAGAUUAGCUAGUUGGUGAGGUAAAGGCUUACCAAGGCGACGAUCUGUAGCUGGUCUGAGAGGACGACCAGCCACACUGGGACUGAGACACGGCCCAGACUCCUACGGGAGGCAGCAGUGGGGAAUUUUGGACAAUGGGCGCAAGCCUGAUCCAGCAAUGCCGCGUGUGUGAUGAAGGCCUUCGGG
rnacentral:rRNA from 1 species